GGGCUCAGGGUGCGGGGAGCGGCGAUAGGCCGCGGGGAGCGGCGCUGAGGCGAUGCGCGACCCCCCGGCGCUUCGGCUCCGUCCGUGGGGGUUCGGAGCGGCGAUAACGGCGUAUUAAUAACGCGGUGGUAUUCGACCGCGGGGCUGCGGGCACCGCCACCGCUACGGGGACACUGCCGGGUGGGAAUGCCGCCACACGGGGACACCGCCCUGCUGUGCCGUCCCGUUGUUGUCCCGUCCCGUUGUUGUCCCGUCCCGUUGUUGUCCCCGUCCCGUUGUUGUCCCGGUCCCAUCGUGUCCCG
rnacentral:lncRNA from 1 species